GACGAACGCUGGCGGCGUGCUUAACACAUGCAAGUCGAACGGAAAGGCCUCUUUCGGGGGGUACUCGAGUGGCGAACGGGUGAGUAACACGUGAGUAACCUGCCCUUGACUUUGGGAUAACUUCAGGAAACUGGGGCUAAUACCGGAUAGGAGCUCCUGCUGCAUGGGGGGGGUUGGAAAGUUUCGGCGGUUGGGGAUGGACUCGCGGCGUAUCUGCUUGUUGGUGGGGUAGUGGCUUACCAAGGCUUUGACGGGUAGCCGGCCUGGGGGGGUGACCGGCGACAUUGAGACUGAGAUACGGCCCAGACUCCUACGGGAGGCAGAAGUGGGGAAUAUUGCACAAUGAGUGGAGGCCUGGUGCAGCAGGGCCGUGUGCGGGAUAACGGCCUUCGGGUUGAAGACCGCUUUCGCUCAUGACGAAGCUUUGUGUGACGGUAGUGGGUAAAGAAGCACCGGCUAACUACGUG
rnacentral:rRNA from 1 species